rnacentral:rRNA from 1 species
AUUGAACGCUGGUGGCAGGCCUAACACAUGCAAGUCGAACGGUAGCACAGAGAGCUUGCUCUCGGGUGACGAGUGGCGGACGGGUGAGUAAUGUCUGGGAAACUGCCCGAUGGAGGGGGAUAACUACUGGAAACGGUAGCUAAUACCGCAUAAUGUCGCAAGACCAAAGAGGGGGACCUUCGGGCCUCUUGCCAUCGGAUGUGCCCAGAUGGGAUUAGCUAGUUGGUGAGGUAAUGGCUCACCAAGGCGACGAUCCCUAGCUGGUCUGAGAGGAUGACCAGCCACACUGGAACUGAGACACGGUCCAGACUCCUACGGGAGGCAGCAGUGGGGAAUAUUGCACAAUGGGCGCAAGCCUGAUGCAGCCAUGCCGCGUGUGUGAAGAAGGCCUUCGGGUUGUAAAGCACUUUCAGCGGGGAGGAAGGCAAUACGGUUAAUAACCGUGUUGAUUGACGUUACCCGCAGAAGAAGCACCGGCUAACUCCGUG